GCCACCUUAGCUCAUUUGGCAGAGCGGCACAUUCGUAACGUGCAGGUGCCGGGUUCGAACCCCGGAGGUGGCU
rnacentral:tRNA from 1 species